GACGAACGCUGGCGGCGUGCUUAACACAUGCAAGUCGAACGGAAAGGCCCUGCUUUUGUGGGGUGCUCGAGUGGCGAACGGGUGAGUAACACGUGAGUAACCUGCCCUUGACUUUGGGAUAACUUCAGGAAACUGGGGCUAAUACCGGAUAGGAUCUCCUGCUGCAUGGUGGGGGUUGGAAAGUUUCGGCGGUUGGGGAUGGACUCGCGGCUUAUCAGCUUGUUGGUGGGGUAGUGGCUUACCAAGGCUUUGACGGGUAGCCGGCCUGAGAGGGUGAACGGCCACAUUGGGACUGAGAGACGGCCCAGACUCCUACGGGAGGCAGCAGUGGGGAAUAUUGCAGAAUGGGCGGAAGCCUGAUGCAGCAACGCCGCGUGCGGGAUGACGGCCUUCGGGUUGUAAACCGCUUUCGACUGUGACGAAGCGUGCGUGACGGUAAUGGGUAAAGAAGCACCGGCUAACUACGUG
rnacentral:rRNA from 1 species